UACAGAGGGUGCAAGCGUUAAUCGGAUUUACUGGGCGUAAAGCGUGAGUAGGUGGCUCGCUAAGUCGAUUGUGAAAGCCCUGGGCUCAACCUGGGAAUUGCAGUCGAUACUGGAGAGCUAGAGUUCGGUAGAGGGUGACGGAAUUCCCGGUGUAGCGGUGAAAUGCGUAGAUAUCGGGAGGAACAUCGAUGGCGAAGGCAAUCACCUGGGCCUGAACUGACACUGAGACACGAAAAGCGUGGGUAGCAAACAGGG
rnacentral:rRNA from 1 species